GAUGAACGCUGGCGGCGUGCCUAAUACAUGCAAGUCGAGCGAACAGACGAGGAGCUUGCUCCUCUGACGUUAGCGGCGGACGGGUGAGUAACACGUGGAUAACCUACCUAUAAGACUGGGAUAACUUCGGGAAACCGGAGCUAAUACCGGAUAAUAUAUUGAACCGCAUGGUUCAAUAGUGAAAGACGGUUUUGCUGUCACUUAUAGAUGGAUCCGCGCCGCAUUAGCUAGUUGGUAAGGUAACGGCUUACCAAGGCAACGAUGCGUAGCCGACCUGAGAGGGUGAUCGGCCACACUGGAACUGAGACACGGUCCAGACUCCUACGGUAGUCAGCAGGAGGCAAUCUGCCGCAAUGGGCGAAAGCCUGACGGAGCAACGCCGCGUGAGUGAGGAAGUUCUUCGGAUCGUAAAACUCUGUUAUUAGGGAAGAACAAAUGUGUAAGUAACUAUGCACGUCUGGACUGUACCUAAUCAGAAAGCCACGGCUAACUACGU
rnacentral:rRNA from 1 species